CCGUCGAUAGCUCAGUUGGCAGAGCGGUGGACUGUAGAUCCAUAGGUUGGUCUCCGGCUCGACGGA